rnacentral:rRNA from 1 species
AGCGGCGGACGGGCGAGUAACGCGUGGGUAACCUGCCUCAUACAGGGGGAUAACAGUUGGAAACGGCUGCUAAUACCGCAUAAGCGCACAGUACCGCAUGGUACCGUGUGAAAAACUCCGGUGGUAUGAGAUGGACCCGCGUCUGAUUAGCUAGUUGGUGGGGUAACGGCCUACCAAGGCGACGAUCAGUAGCCGACCUGAGAGGGUGACCGGCCACAUUGGGACUGAGACACGGCCCAA